AAUUCUCAACUUCAAAACUUGUUUUUGAUAGCUUGGAUGUUGGAGGCUUGCAGGCACUUGUCAGCUCCUCUUAAAUGCAUUAGCAGGACUUUAAAAGGAUCGGCUUUGGUUUGAUAAUCCUAUCUAUGCCAUCGCUGAUACAAAUUGUAGUUCAGCUUAUAAUCGUCUUCGGACUGUCUCGCAAGAGGCAUUAUUUAA
rnacentral:misc_RNA from 1 species